CGUGUAGGCGGUCCGGUAAGUCCGUUGUGAAAGUCAGGGGCUCAACCCUUGAAUGCCGGCGGAUACUGUCGGGCUAGAGUCCGGAAGAGGCGAGUGGAAUUCCCGGUGUAGCGGUGAAAUGCGCAGAUAUCGGGAGGAACACCUAUGGCGAAGGCAGCUCGCUGGGACGGCACUGACGCUGAGACGCGAAAGCGUGGGAGCAAACA
rnacentral:rRNA from 1 species